UCACAACCUGUCCUAAACUAGUCAUUUGGGUUUUUUGCCCACUUGUUCCUGUCCUAAUCUAAUUUUUGGAUCUUUAAGGCCCAAAAUUUGUUCCACCUGUAUUAAUUUACAACUUUAUCUUUGAGACCCAAAUAAAUGACUAAAUAAAUAAAAAAAUAAAAAUGCUACAAUAACAAAACUCGAGACUUUUUAAGUCUCCUAGCGACUUCAUCAAUGAGUUUCGUCCCAUUUUCCUUCAUCUUAUGGUAACUUCUUCUUACUCCAAAGAUAGUCGACUCGAAGUGUUAGGCUGCAUUGGACCAUCAUGAAAUGUAGAAGGAAAGAAUCCAUUCGGACUCUAAGACAAAUUCAUGAAAAAAAAAGACAAAAGGAAUUAAUAUAUAUUCUAAAUUAGCGGCUAACACACAGAUGUAGAGAAGACAAUGACCCAUGAAAUUAAAGAAAAACAUAUACCAAUCAAAGAUUUUCAAAUUAACUGGAAGGACAAGAUAAGAUAAGAAGUUCUCAUGAUUUCGAGCAAACUAAGUUAAAUGAUUAUGUUUAAGGCUAUAGAAAACUUUGGUAAAUAUAAAGAUAUGAACUGAACCAUUUUAACAAAAAAUUUAGUGAAUAGCAAAAAGGAGGGAUAAAUAGCAGAUACGAACAAGAGCAACUUUCAAUCAAAGAAGCUUAUAAACCAUGAAGAUCUAAUAUUAUAAGGGUUAUUAGCUUGCGAUUAAGAUUCAACAAGGUCCAACUUUUCACAAGUUGCGAAGAAUAGGGGAAAAUGGGAGAAAAAAAGAAAAAUGAUUUAGACUAGCAGAUAACUUAACCGAACAAUGAGUAAAAGAGCUACAACAUACUAUAUCUAAAUCGACACAAUCAACUGAUAAUCUUAAAUUACAACAAGAUGACAUCAAACUAGAAUGUAAGAUUAGAGUUACAACAAGCAUGGCUAAAAAUGCGAUGAUAAUAAGAAGCGAGACCUGAUAUAUUAGGAUGAAAUAAUGGGUCAAAUUUUAAUCCUAUUGAGAAAUUAAAGAAAACUAAACUCAAGGACUAUUGGGUAGAAACAGGAGAGUGUUAAAGCAAAAGAAUAUAUCAAAAGAGAGUAAAAAAUUAACCUAUUCUCAUGAGACAAUAUUUGAACAUGGAAAUUUUCAGCUCCAAAAGAUAUCAAGAUGGGUUUUUAAGACAACCAGGCAACAUGAACAUUAAGACAUUCAUACCAAAACAACAAAACUAGCAUUACGUCAUCAAGAAAAUGUUAACACACAAGCUGUAAUUUUCAACAAAAUAAAGAACCUACACAACAUAUCAUUUGUCCUCUUUUUACAUUUUUGUCAAUAGGAGCUCUAAGGCAAAGACGAGACAAAACAAAGAAAAAGAAAACUGAAUCACCAGAAAACUUUGAACCAAGGCAACGAAUAAACAUUAAACAAUCAAUUUUCGGCUAAAUAAAUAUCAAAUCAAACCAUAAAGUCAAGUAUAUAAAAAAAUGUUGAUGGCUAACAAACUAGUAUUGCAGUGAGUUUGAAGGCAAAACUAAACACAAAAUACGAGACUAAAGCAUUAAUCUUAUGGCUAAACCAAUGAACAAUUAGUCGAAAGGUAACUAUAUAUUGGAAUUUCAUCAAAAUAAAGUUAACACAGAAACAAUGGUCUAAAUCCUGUAAAGAAAAUUAUUGAAUCAAAUAGUGAACUCAAUUGAUUAAAGGAAGCAAAAUAUUCACGAUACAUGCUGAAAGAACAUCAAUAAUUAACCAACAAUAUCAAGAUGAUAUAGUAAACUUAAAACAACAAAACUAAAAAUAUGAAAUCGAUAGUUUAGAAAAUCGUAGUAUGAAUGUUGUAACAACUACCAUUACAAGUAAAUCCUAUGACCAUUGAAGCUGUCUACAACAAACAAUAUUACCGAGAGAGUAAAACUAUGACAAUAGGACGACGAGAUGAAGAAGAAAUAAAAUCAAAACUAAUUGGAAUAAAGUAUUACCUAUUUUGGGGCAAUAAAUCGGGACUCGAGCUGUCAUCGUAAUCUUGACCGCCACCGAAAAGCGUUGUUGCCACUUCAAAAAUUUCUACGGCUUUUCACAAAAAUAUGUUUUACCAGAAAAUUUAACUAUUGCUCGGAAGUUCUUUUUGAAAACUUCAAGACUUGCCUCCAAUUUUGCUCCACAAUGACCCUUUUUAGGAGGGAAGAAAGGUUAUGUGCUCACACCGAUGUAGUACAAAGGGGGAAUGAGAGAUAAUUUGGGAGUUUUUAUGAGAGAAAUUCAGAUUCAAGAGGUGGGAUAAGAUUUGAGGUGGAAAAAUCAUACAAAUUCAUACGCUUGAUUGUUGGCCUAUGAGUUGUCCAUCUUUAGGAAGUUUCUCCAAAGUUGUGUCGGGUUGGUUCGAGUCGUUGUCAUUGGGUUAAUGUAGGGUUUAAUCCAUGGUUUAUUGAAAUAUGUUGCUGAAGUUUUGUCAUCAAAAUUGUUGGGUUUUCAUCAUUGUUUUG
rnacentral:lncRNA from 1 species